rnacentral:misc_RNA from 1 species
AAAAAAUGUGGUUCUUAUCAUCACCCUGUAUACUAUUCACUCCCCAACCUCAAUUUUUUUUUUCUCUCUUUAUUUUUCUUUGUAACUUAUGCUUUUCCAUUUUUGUAAUUUAAUUAAUUAAUGUGAAAGCAUCCAUGUUUCUUCCAUGUUAUAGCCAAUUCGACCCAAUAGUUGAAGGACGUCCUGGCACCUGCAACUGCAAAUGUAUAAUAAUUCUGAUAAAGAAGGG